rnacentral:miRNA from 1 species
UAGGUUGUUGUAUAUGUGG